rnacentral:rRNA from 1 species
UAGGGAAUCUUCGGCAAUGGACGAAAGUCUGACCGAGCAACGCCGCGUGAGUGAAGAAGGGUUUCGGAUCGUAAAACUCUGUUGUUAGAGAAGAACAAGGGUGAGAGUAACUGUUCACCCCUUGACGGUAUCUAACCAGAAAGCCACGGCUAACUACGUGCAG